rnacentral:rRNA from 1 species
GACGAACGCUGGCGGCGUGCUUAACACAUGCAAGUCGAGCGGUAAGGCCCUUUCGGGGGUACACGAGCGGCGAACGGGUGAGUAACACGUGGGUGACCUGCCCUCAGCUCUGGGAUAAGCCCGGGAAACUGGGUCUAAUACCGGAUAUGACUCCACGGUGCAUGUCGUGGGUGGAAAGCCUUGUGCGGCUGAGGAUGGGCCCGCGGCCUAUCAGCUUGUUGGUGGGUGAUGGCCUACCAAGGCGACGACGGGUAGCCGGCCUGAGAGGGCGACCGGCCACACUGGGACUGAGACACGGCCCAGACUCCUACGGGAGGCAGCAGUGGGGAAUCUUGCGCAAUGGGCGAAAGCCUGACGCAGCGACGCCGCGUGA